rnacentral:sRNA from 1 species
UGGAAUCAAAGGCUCUGGUCCUUGUCAGAUGGCUUUCAGGCAUCUGGGGGUGGGGAAAGCAUUAUGGGGCAGGGGGCUCCUCUUGGUCCCUGUGGAGUCGGGUCCCUGUGGGCACAACUCCAGGGGCUGGCGUUCACACUGUACCUAUGAAUUACUGUGGGAUAGUGCUCCUGGGAGCCAUAUGGCUUGGCCAGACUGCUGGGGUUGAUGGGUGAGCAGAGUGGGAGGCCGGAGACUGCCCUUGACCGGCAAAUGCCCUGCAACGGUGGCUCCUGACACCAGGGGAUAGGGAGAUGUGCCUGAGUCCUUCCUCCCCUCCAAGGACAGGUAGUAGGUGCCAGCCUAGGGGAGCUUCCAAGGAGGGGAAGGCAAAGCCCUGGCCCCUGCCUGUGUCCCCUUCCUGGCAUGUUCCACAUGCUCGGUCCUGCAGGCCCUGACCCUCAUCAUCUUCAUCUGCUUCACGGCCUCCAUCUCUGCCUACAUGGCCGCGGCGCUACUGGAGUUCUUCAUCACACUUGCCUUCCUCUUCCUCUAUGCCACCCAGUACUACCAGCGCUUCGACCGGCUUAACUGGCCCUGUCUGGUGAGGAACCCUGACCCCUAGCCCAGUUUGGGGCCCUUCCUUCUCCUCUAAAUGAUGCAUUUUCCUUUCCUCCCCGAGCUUCUUUCCAUUUCCACACCGCAGCUGGGCUUUGUCCCAUGCUAUGCCCUGCACUCAAAGGUGUGCUUUGACUCACACUGAUUUCACAGCUGCAAGGCCACGGGCAAUCAGGAGGACCACAUCCACUAGAUCUACUCUCCCACUCAGCAAAGAUCCAGCCCCAGCCCUGGCCUGGCUUGACCCCCGGGGCUGGCCUACUCCAGCCUCUGUCCCCUGGGCUCCAGCCCCAGCGCCUGGCUUCUGGUCCUGGUUGCUCUGGUUCAUCUGCUUCCACUCCCUGGGUAGCAGUGUGAGCGCUCUGUCUCUUGAAUGUGCUUCAUAUUGUGUGAGGGGUAUCCCAUGGAGGGGUUCAGAAUCCCUCAGGGUCGGGCUGCUGGCUAGCCUGGAAAACUUCAGGGCAACGCCCCCUGCCUUCUGAGGUCCUGUUAACCCUGCACCCCUGGCCCCCAGGACUUCCUGCGCUGUGUCAGUGCCAUCAUCAUCUUCCUGGUGGUCUCCUUUGCAGCUGUGACCUCCCGGGAUGGAGCUGCCAUUGCUGCUUUUGUGAGUUCAGCCCUGCAGGACUCCUUAGCCCCUCAGGAGCUCAGGCUGGUGCUUGCACACUUUCUGUAUCAGAAGCCACAGCCAGGGCUUGGGGUUCUGGCUUGCACCUCGCCCUAUACCUUAACCCAAUGGCCCUAUAGCCUCUGUUUUGCCAUCCCCACUCCCACUCCCACAGGUUUUUGGCAUCAUCCUGGUUUCCAUCUUUGCCUAUGAUGCCUUCAAGAUCUACCGGACUGAGAUGGCACCCGGGGCCAGCCAGGGGGACCAGCAGUGACUCUGGGGCUACCUGGCUCCUAGGCCCAGCCAGCCAGAGAGGACAGUGGAGCCCAGACAUGUCUCCUUGGGAUUCACUAGCCCCCAGCCCGCCAAACCCCACCCCAGCCCUACAGAGCAGUCUGGCCUGAGACGUCACUGGGGACUUAUCUGUGGAGCCUGGUGCUCCAGGAUGUGGCUCCUCAUGAAGCUCUGGCCAGAGGAGGGGAACUUAUUGGGGGAGGGGGGGUGGAGGGGAGGAAUCUGGGGCUCUAAGUCAUUCCCAAAUUAAAAUAUUCAAAUUCUA